CAUGUAGGCGGUUAAGUAAGUCUGAUGUGAAAGCACACAGCUCAACUGUGAUGUUGCGUUGGAAACUGCUUGACUUGAAUCCGAGAGGGGUAAGUGGAAUUCCUAGUGUAGGGGUGAAAUCUGUUGAUAUUAGGAAGAACACCAGAGGCGAAGGCGACUUACUGGCUCUGGAUUGACGCUGAGAUGCGAAAGCGUAGGUAGCGAACAGGAUUAGAUACCCUGGUAGUCC
rnacentral:rRNA from 1 species